GAUGAACGCUGGCGGCGUGCUUAACACAUGCAAGUCGAACGAAGCACCUCUCCCGAAGAUUGACCCAGCUUGCUGUAGAUUGAUUCAUUUGAGGUGACUGAGUCGCGGACGGGUGAGUAACGCGUGAGUAACCUGCCGCAUAGAGGGGGACAACAGUUGGAAACGACUGCUAAUACCGCAUAGUAAGAAGAAUUCGCAUGUUUUCUUCUUGAAAGAUUUAUCGCUAUGAGAUGGACCCGCGCAGGAUUAGCUAGUUGGUACGGUAACGGCAUACCAAGGCGGCGAAGGGUAGCCGACACGAGAGGGAGGACGGGCACACUGGAUGUGAGACACGGUCCAGACUCCUACGGGAGGCAGCAGUAGGGAAUCUUACGCGAUGGGCGAAAGCCUGACGGAGCAACGCCGCGUGAGUGAUGAAGGUCUUCGGAUCGUAAAGCUCUGUUAUUAGGGAAGAACAAAUGUGUAAGUAGCUAUGCACGUCUUGACGGUACCUAAUCAGAAAGCCACGGCUAACUACGUG
rnacentral:rRNA from 1 species